UACGUAGGGGGCUAGCGUUGUCCGGAUUUAUUGGGCGUAAAGAGCGUGUAGGCGGCCGAGUAAGUCCGACGUGAAAUCUGGAGGCUCAACCUCCAGCGGUCGUUGGAAACUACUCGGCUAGAGUCCGGAAGAGGAGAGUGGAAUUCCUGGUGUAGCGGUGAAAUGCGCAGAUAUCAGGAAGAACACCGAUGGCGAAAGCAGCUCUCUGGGACGGUACUGACGCUGAGACGCGAAAGCGUGGGGAGCGAACAGG
rnacentral:rRNA from 1 species